GUUCUGACAACUCUCAGGCCUUGGGGAGCAGCACCAACUACCCACAGAGCCUGACCUUGCUCUUUUGUAAUGCCAGCAGGCAAGCCAGCUGUUAGAGGAGCUCACAGCAGUGGCUUCAGAGAGAGAUGUCCCACAAACAGCAUCCCAGGGAGGAAAGAAGGCGAGGUUUGGGAAUAGGGGCAGGGGUAACCGAGCUUGGCCCUCAGCAGCAAGAACACAAUCCUCUAGCUACAUGACUGCAAUAUCAGGAGGGCCCUCAAGACAUCGUAAGAACAUUUAAUCCAAUAGAAAUUACUGAAUUAAAACUGACAGCAAAACACAAAUCUAAAGUUCAGCAACAACCAAAGGCCUACUGAAAAAGGCAGUGAGUGUGAAGAGGAGAAAAAAUGCAGAUUGCAUUCUAUGGCUAUCAGUGGGAGACAGAUGUCUGAUACACAAAUAGUAGAAAGCCACUAACUCCUGAACCCAAAAAUAAACUAUUGUUCCUGUUAG